CGGCAGUGAGACUGUGGGGGAUAAGCUUCAUAGUCGAGAGGGAAACAGCCCAGAUCGCCGGUUAAGGCCCCUAAGGGUGUACUAAGUGGAAAAGGAUGUGGGAUCGCGAAGACAGCCAGGAGGUUGGCUUAGAAGCAGCCAUCCUUGAAAGAGUGCGUAAUAGCUCACUGGUCGAGUGGUUCUGCGCCGACAAUUCAGUGGGGCUCAAGUACACCGCCGAAGCCGCGGCACACUAUUUUUGUGUGGGUAGGGGAGCGUCGUGUAUGGGGUGAAGCAAUACUGUAAGGGGUUGUGGACUGUACACGAGUGAGAAUGCAGGCAUGAGUAACGAGUGAUAAGUGAGAAUCUUAUCCGCCGGAUGACUAAGGGUUCCUGGGUCAAGUUCGUCUUCCCAGGGUGAGUCGGGUCCUAAGGCGAGGCCGACAGGCGUAGUCGAUGGUUAACGGGUUGAUAUUCCCGUACCCGUGUAUAUGCGCCCAAGGGUGAAUCGGUGAUACUAACCACCCUGACCGCACCAUAUGAUGAUCCCUUCGGGGGUUGGUCGGUGGUGUGUGAUGCGUGGGGCCUAAACCGUAGUAGCCCAGUGAUGGGGUGACGCAGUGAGGUAGCCUAGCCACUUAUUGGAUUGUGGUGUAAGCGUGUGGCACGACGAUGAGUGAAAUGCUUGUUGUCACAAAGUGUGAGGCGUGAUGCGUAGCCCCUUAAGGGGUGAUGUAGGUGAUCCUGUACUGCCGAGAAAAGCCUCUAGCGAGUGUGUACACGGCCCGUACCCGAAACCGACACAGGUAGUCAGGUAGAGAAUACUAAGGCGGUCGGGUGAACUGUGGUUAAGGAACUCGGCAAAAUNCCCCCGUAACUUCGGGAGAAGGGGGACCNCUACCUGGUGCGCAGCUUUUACGGUUGUUGUGCUGGUGGGGGUCGCAGAGAAUAGAGGGGAGCGACUGUUUAUCAAAAACACAGGUCCGUGCGAAGACGUGAUGUUGAUGUAUACGGACUGACGCCUGCCCGGUGCUGGAAGGUUAAGAGGACCUGUUAGAGCCCUUGUGGUUCGAAGCGGAGAAUUUAAGCCCCAGUAAACGGCGGUGGUAACUAUAACCAUCCUAAGGUAGCGAAAUUCCUUGUCGGGUAAGUUCCGACCUGCACGAAUGGCGUAACGACUUCUCUGCUGUCUCGACCACAGGCCCGGUGAAAUUGCAUUACGAGUAAAGAUGCUCGUUACGCGCGGCAGGACGAAAAGACCCCGGGACCUUCACUAUAGCUUGGUAUUGGUGUUUGGUUCGGUUUGUGUAGGAUAGGUGGGAGACUGUGAAACCGUCACGCUAGUGGUGGUGGAGUCGUUGUUGAAAUACCACUCUGAUCGGAUUGAGCAUCUAACCUUGGCCCAUGAUCUGGGUUGGGGACAGUGCCUGGUGGGUAGUUUAACUGGGGCGGUUGCCUCCCAAAAUGUAACGGAGGCGCCCAAAGGUUCCCUCAGCCUGGUUGGCAAUCAGGUGGUGAGUGUAAGUGCACAAGGGAGCUUGACUGUGAGACAGACAUGUCGAGCAGGGACGAAAGUCGGGACUAGUGAUCCGGCACCUACUUGUGGAUGUGGUGUCGCUCAACGGAUAAAAGGUACCCCGGGGAUAACAGGCUGAUCUUCCCCAAGAGUCCAUAUCGACGGGAUGGUUUGGCACCUCGAUGUCGGCUCAUCUCAUCCUGGGGCUGAAGCAGGUCCCAAGGGUAUGGCUGUUCGCCCAUUAAAGCGGCACGCGAGCUGGGUUCAGAACGUCGUAGACAGUUCGGUCCCUAUCCGUCGCGGGCGUAGGAAAUUUGAGAGGAUCUGCUCCUAGUACGAGAGGACCGGGAUGGAUACACCUCUAGUGUGCCAGUUGUCACGCCCGUGGCAUGGCUGGUUGGCUACGUGUAGAAGGGAUAACCGCUGAAAGCAUCUAAGCGGGAAGCCUGUUUUGAGAUGAGGUUUCGUUAUUAGGUGCCCUAGAGACUAUGGGGUUGAUAGGCCAGAUCUGGAAGCGUUGUAAGGCGUGGAGGUGACUGGUACUAAUUCACCGAACUACUACAACA
rnacentral:rRNA from 1 species